AUCUUGGACAAUGGGGGCAACCCUGAUCCAGCGAUGCCGCGUGUGUGAAGAAGGCCUUCGGGUUGUAAAGCACUUUAGGUGGGGAAGAAAGGCAGUUGUUGAAUACGCAACUGUUAUGACGGUACCCGCAGAAUAAGCACCGGCUAACUCUGUGCCAGCAGCCGCGGUAAUACAGAGGGUGCAAGCGUUAAUCAGAAUGACUGGGCGUAAAGGGCGUGUAGGUGGUUAAUUAGGUUUGAUGUGAAAUCCCCGGGCUUAACCUGGGAAUUGCGUCGAAAACGGAUUAACUCGAGUGAGAUAGAGGGUUGUGGAAUUUCCGGUGUAGCGGUGAAAUGCGUAGAUAUCGGAAAGAACAUCAGUGGCGAAGGCGACAACCUGGAUCUUAACUGACACUGAGGCGCGAAGGCGUGGGGAGCAAACAGG
rnacentral:rRNA from 1 species